GACGAACGCUGGCGGCGCGCUUAACACAUGCAAGUCGAACGGAAAGGCCUGCUUUCCCUUGUGGAUUGCGGGUACUCGAGUGGCGAACGGGUGAGUAACACGUGAGUGAUCUGCCCCCAACUUGGGUAUAAGCCUGGGAAACUGGGUCUAAUUCCCGAUAGGACUGCAGGGUGGUGCCUGUGGUGGAAAACGAUUUUCUAGUGGUUGGGGAUGAGCUCGCGGCCUAUCAGCUUGUUGGUGGGGUAAUGGCCUACCAAGGCGGCGACGGGUAGCCGGCCUGAGAGGGUGGACGGCCACAUUGGGACUGAGAUACGGCCCAGACUCCUACGGGAGGCAGCAGUGGGGAAUAUUGCACAAUGGGCGGAAGCCUGAUGCAGCGACGCCGCGUGGGGGAUGACGGCCUUCGGGUUGUACUCCUUUCGACCGCGAGGAAGCCACCUGGUUGGAAGGGUGGUGACGGUAGUGGUAGAAGAAGCACCGGCUAACUACGUG
rnacentral:rRNA from 1 species